GACGAACGCUGGCGGCGUGCUUAACACAUGCAAGUCGAACGGGAAGUCCCUGCCUUUGUGCGGUGCUCGAGUGGCGAACGGGUGAGUAACACGUGAGUUACCUGCCCUUGACUUUGGGAUAACUUCAGGAAACUUGGGCUAAUACCGGAUAGGAGCUCCUGCCGCAUGGUGGGGGUUGGAAAGUUUCGGCGGUUGGGGAUGGACUCGCGGCUCAUCGGCUUGUUGGUUGGGUAGUGUAUUAGCAAGGCCUGGCCGGGUAGCAGAGCUGAGAGGAUGACCGGACAAAUUAGGAUUGGGCUGAGGCACGGACCACACUGGGACGCAGCGGAGCAGAAUGGUGCACUAUGCGCGGGAGCAUGAUGUGACAACGCCGCGUGCGGGAUGACGGCCAUCGGGUUGUGAAGCACUUUCGCCUGAGACGAGACGUGAGUGACGGUAAUGGGUAAAGAAGCCCCGGCUAACUACGUG
rnacentral:rRNA from 1 species